GCCGCAAAACAAAACAAAGUCAUCUCUGAAAAAAUAGUUAUAUCCACCUCGAAUCUUCUCAGCUCAUUCCCCUGAAAAAACAAGUGCAAUUCUUGGGAAUUCCCGAAAAGGGGGUAGCACUGCUCCAAAACUUAAUUUUCCUGCACGAACCUUCUUGGCUCGUUUAUACUUGACACCUAGUUAGUUUAUAAGUAGAAAGCUCCACUACCCAUGACCAAGAAACAAAAGCUUUAUUCCGAGAAAAUCAUCACCAUGGCUCACACUUUUACUAAUCCCCCACCCCCACAGCCUCCUCCUGGUUCUUGCACUUUUUUUUGACGGUGACAGCAAGUGGCUGCUGGCUUUCAAAGUGGUUACUCUCCUAAUCCUCUUCUUGACACUCAUUCGUUGUUUUAGCGAGUGUUUGACCAAAUUUGGUUAGCCCUGCUUGGCUGUUUAGUUUACUUUGUAAUAAACUUUGAUGGGAGGGUGUGCGGUUUGUUGACAGUUGCACUGCCUGUGAUGCUUUGGCUUGCUUUGUUUAGCUUCUCUGUAAGCUUAGUUUGAGUGUAAUAAUAACUAAUAACUGGGAGGUUAUCCAGUUAUCCUA